AUUUGAAACAACUUCUCUUAGCUUGAAUUUUCUUAUCUUCAACAUGAGGCAUAAUGAUUGCGUCUACCAUAUUAAAUAUUGAUACUAAUUCAAUCAGUUUACAUUUAUAAAAUGAUCAGAAGAUAGCCAGGCAUGGUGACACACACCUUUAAUCCCAAGA